UGGGGAAUAUUGGACAAUGGGGGCAACCCUGAUCCAGCAAUGCCGCGUGUGUGAAGAAGGUCUUCGGAUUGUAAAGCACUUUCGACGGGGACGAUGAUGACGGUACCCGUAGAAGAAGCCCCGGCUAACUUCGUGCCAGCAGCCGCGGUAAUACGAAGGGGGCUAGCGUUGCUCGGAAUGACUGGGCGUAAAGGGCGUGUAGGCGGUUUACACAGUCAGAUGUGAAAUCCCCGGGCUUAACCUGGGAGCUGCAUUUGAUACGGUGUAGACUAGAGUGUGAGAGAGGGUUGUGG
rnacentral:rRNA from 1 species